UACGGAGGGGGCUAGCGUUGUUCGGAAUUACUGGGCGUAAAGCGCGCGUAGGCGGCUUAGCAAGUUAGAGGUGAAAGCCCGAAGCUCAACUUCGGAAUUGCCUUUAAAACUGCGAAGCUAGAAUCAUGGAGAGGUUAGUGGAAUUCCGAGUGUAGAGGUGAAAUUCGUAGAUAUUCGGAAGAACACCAGUGGCGAAGGCGACUAACUGGACAUGUAUUGACGCUGAGGUGCGAAAGCGUGGGGAGCAAACAGG
rnacentral:rRNA from 1 species